rnacentral:tRNA from 1 species
AGCGAUAUAAUUUAAAAAAAAUUUUGUCUUGCAAAGACAAAUUUAUCCUAUAAGGUUUGUCGCUU